ensembl:lncRNA
AUGGGUGAAAAAUGGGAUGAAAAAUGGGAGGAGAAUGGGGCAGUGUGGGAACAUAAAGGGUCAACUAUGGGUCAAGAAUGGGAGAUGGGUGAAAAAUGGGAUGAGAAUGGGUCAGAAAUGGGAGGAGAAUGGGGCAGAAAUGGGAACGUAACGGGUCAGCUAUGGAAGAUGGGUGAAGAAUGGGAUGAGAAUGGGAUGAAAAUGGGAGGGACGGAUCCUUCCUGCCGCUUUUUGGGGUCGGGGUCGGUGAUGGCUCCUUCCUGCUGCGUUUUAGGGUCAGGGAUGGAGAUGGGGACGGAUCCUUCCUGCUGUGUUUUGGGGUCGGCGAUGGCUCCUUCCUGCUGCGUUUUGGGGUCAGGGAUGGAGAUGGGGACGGAUCCUUCCUGCCGCUUUUUGGGGUCGGGGUCGGUGAUGGCUCCUUCCUGCUGCGUUUUAGGGUCAGGGAUGGAGAUGGGGACGGAUCCUUCCUGCUGUGUUUUGGGGUCGGCGAUGGCUCCUUCCUGCUGCGUUUUGGGGUCAGGGAUGGAGAUGGGGACGGAUCCUUCCUGCCGCUUUUUGGGGUCGGGGUCGGUGAUGGCUCCUUCCUGCUGCGUUUUAGGGUCAGGGAUGGAGAUGGGGACGGAUCCUUCCUGCUGUGUUUUGGGGUCGGCGAUGGCUCCUUCCUGCUGCGUUUUGGGGUCAGGGAUGGAGAUGGGGACGGAUCCUUCCUGCCGCUUUUUGGGGUCGGGGUCGGUGAUGGCUCCUUCCUGCUGCGUUUUAGGGUCAGGGAUGGAGAUGGGGACGGAUCCUUCCUGCUGUGUUUUGGGGUCGGCGAUGGCUCCUUCCUGCUGCGUUUUGGGGUCAGGGAUGGAGAUGGGGACGGAUCCUUCCUGCCGCUUUUUGGGGUCGGGGUCGGUGAUGGCUCCUUCCUGCUGCGUUUUAGGGUCAGGGAUGGAGAUGGGGACGGAUCCUUCCUGCUGUGUUUUGGGGUCGGCGAUGGCUCCUUCCUGCUGCGUUUUGGGGUCAGGGAUGGAGAUGGGGACGGAUCCUUCCUGCCGCUUUUUGGGGUCGGGGUCGGUGAUGGCUCCUUCCUGCUGCGUUUUAGGGUCAGGGAUGGAGAUGGGGACGGAUCCUUCCUGCUGUGUUUUGGGGUCGGCGAUGGCUCCUUCCUGCUGCGUUUUGGGGUCAGGGAUGGAGAUGGGGACGGAUCCUUCCUGCCGCUUUUUGGGGUCGGGGUCGGUGAUGGCUCCUUCCUGCUGCGUUUUAGGGUCAGGGAUGGAGAUGGGGACGGAUCCUUCCUGCUGUGUUUUGGGGUCGGCGAUGGCUCCUUCCUGCUGCGUUUUGGGGUCAGGGAUGGAGAUGGGGACGGAUCCUUCCUGCCGCUUUUUGGGGUCGGGGUCGGUGAUGGCUCCUUCCUGCUGCGUUUUAGGGUCAGGGAUGGAGAUGGGGACGGAUCCUUCCUGCUGUGUUUUGGGGUCGGCGAUGGCUCCUUCCUGCUGCGUUUUGGGGUCAGGGAUGGAGAUGGGGACGGAUCCUUCCUGCUGCUUUUUGGGGUCGGGGUCGGACGAGGUUUCCGGCUCUGGAAGCGCCGCAGCCGCUCGAAAAAGGCCCAGAAGUCGCGGAUGA